rnacentral:rRNA from 1 species
UACGGGGGGGGCAAGCGUUGUUCGGAAUUACUGGGCGUAAAGGGCUCGUAGGUGGCCAACUAAGUCAGACGUGAAAUCCCCAGGCUCAACCUGGGAACUGCGUCUGAUACUGGAUGGCUUGAAUCCGGGAGAGGGAUGCAGAAUUCCAGGUGUAGCGGUGAAAUGCGUAGAUAUCUGGAGGAAUACCGGUGGCGAAGGCGGCAUCCUGGACCGAGAUUGACACUGAUGAGCGAAAGCUAGGGGAGCAAACGGG